rnacentral:rRNA from 1 species
UACGUAGGGUGCGAGCGUUGUCCGGAAUUAUUGGGCGUAAAGGGCUCGUAGGCGGUCUGUUGCGUCGGGAGUGAAAACUCAGGGCUUAACCCUGAGCCUGCUUCCGAUACGGGCAGACUAGAGGUAUGCAGGGGAGAACGGAAUUCCUGGUGUAGCGGUGAAAUGCGCAGAUAUCAGGAGGAACACCGGUGGCGAAGGCGGUUCUCUGGGCAUUACCUGACGCUGAGGUGCGAAAGCGUGGGGAGCAAACCGG